rnacentral:rRNA from 1 species
UACAGAGGGUGCAAGCGUUGUUCGGAAUUAUUGGGCGUAAAGGGCGCGUAGGCGGUUUGUUAAGUCGGUCGUGAAAGCCCGGGGCUCAACCCCGGAGGGUCGACCGAUACUGGCAGACUAGAGUACAGAAGAGGUAGCUGGAAUUCCCGGUGUAGCGGUGAAAUUCGUAGAUAUUCGCAAGAACACCAGUGGCGAAGGCGGCUCACUGGCCCGGUACUGACGCUGAGGUGCGAAAGCGUGGGGAGCAAACAGG